rnacentral:rRNA from 1 species
AUUGGCCUUUAAUUGUGGUCUGGUAUGAACGGAAACAUAUAUAGCUUCUGUCUCAUUUGUACUAUUGGUAAUUUGCUUAGUAGGUGAAAAUUCCUAUAAGCUUAAUUGUAGGACGAUAAGACCCUUAGAAUUAUUAAUAAGUGAAUACAAUUGUGUAUUAAUCUUUUUUGUUGGGGCGACAUAUUCUCAUUUAAACAUAAUAAAUAUAAUACUCACAGGUCUAAUUUAGUUAGGAAGAUUUAAUUACCUAAGGGAUAACAGCAUAAUAUUAAUAUAUGUUUAUGACCUCGAUGUUGGACUAGGUAAAUUUAUUAAUUAGAAGUUAUAAAUACUUGUUCUGUUCGAACAAUAACACCUACAUGAUCUGAGUUCAGACCG